UCUCGGCUCUCGCAUCGAUAAAACGUACGAAAUGCGAUACUUGGUGUGAAUUGCAGAAUCCCGUGAACCAUCGAGUCUUUGAACGCAAGUUGCGCCCGAAACCUUUAGGUCGAGGGCACGCCUGCCUGGGCGUCACGCAUCGCGUCUCCCCCCACCCCACCU
rnacentral:rRNA from 1 species